UACGAAGGGGGCUAGCGUUGCUCGGAAUUACUGGGCGUAAAGGGCGCGUAGGCGGAUCGUUAAGUCAGGGGUGAAAUCCUGGAGCUCAACUCCAGAACUGCCUUUGAUACUGAAGAUCUUGAGUUCGGGAGAGGUGAGUGGAACUGCGAGUGUAGAGGUGAAAUUCGUAGAUAUUCGCAAGAACACCAGUGGCGAAGGCGGCUCACUGGCCCGAUACUGACGCUGAGGCACGAAAGCGUGGGGAGCAAACAGG
rnacentral:rRNA from 1 species